GAAGCUGCGCUCAUGUGUCGCACUUGUUGGUUAGAUGCAUUCAUGGUGGCACAACACUGCAACACCUCCCAACUAAAAUUUUCGCAAGAACUUAAAUCAAAUCUUACAUUUUUACUGAAGUAACCCCACAAACGAGAUUGAAAUAGGAAAACAAUUUGAGGUCAAAAUGUGAAUUUACCUCUUUGGUUGCACUUUCGAGAAAAGUUCAUUUCAAAUUUAUCUUACCUCUUCCGAGAAAUAAUAAAUUCUCCGAUAAAAUGAACGAAAUCCAGUUCUUAAUUUUGUGCACCAAGAGUUCAUGGGUCUACUACUGUUUAAAGGAAAGAUGGCGAGCAUUCUGAGCAAUAUGUCAUCAAACUUUGGAGAGUGCAGAAAAGGGCCAACUCCACGACGACUCCAUCUACUCAAGGUAGAUACUUCUUUUAACAAAAAGUAGUAGUAGUCCUUAUUUCUUCUUCACAAGAUAUGUUCCUGUUGGUCUCCCAUGGAAAUGUAAAGUCGCUUACUUUCAUCUGGCGUCAUCUCUUAACUUGGUUAUAUAGCCAUUAAAAUUAGAGGUAGAUAGUCUAGAGACGAUAAAAUGAACAUCUGAAAUUGUAUGUAAAAUCAACAUUUGCUGCUAUGAAUAUGCCACAAAUUUUUAUGAUUUCGUUAAUUUCCCUUUUUUAAGGAUGUUUGUAGCCUAAAUUUUAGGUGGACUUUUCACUUUUGUGUGCCUAAACUAAAAAGUAUUCAAAAAGAAAAAUGGAAUACUGAAAAUGACUCAUGAUUGUGGAAUUAGAUCACAAGGUGAUAUGUGGAAUUCGGCGUAUAUUUAACAAUUCUUAGGGAGUUAGAUAUCCCUUAUCAGAAGGUGAAAAUGAUAAAAGUUAAUGAUUGUUUCUUCACUUUACCUGAGAUGCAUCCUAUUUUAUUGUGCUGUGAUGGAGCAUCUAGGGGUAACCCAGGCAUUGCAGGAUAUGGGUUUAUAGGGAGAAAUCAUGAAGGAGAUUUUGUUAUAGCAGAAAAUGGUAAUAUCGGGAUUGCAUCAAACUUUAUGGCAGAGUUAAUUGUUAUCAUCAGAGCACUAUAAUGGGCUAUGUCUUCAUGUUCACAGUGUGUUCUUCUUCAAUCUGAUUAUUCUUCUGUGAUUCAAGCCUAUGUUAUUAACAACUUGCCAUGGAUUUGUGGGCUAGAUGGAGCAAACUCUUUAGUAGUGGGAUUUAAAUUCAGUUUAGACAUAGCUUCAGAGAAGUAAACUUUGCUGCAGACAGAUUAGCGAAAAAAGGACUUCUAUGGUUUGUGGACAAACAUGUAGAUACUAUACUAGACCCAAUUUUCUUAUGAGCAUGGAAGCACCUGACAGAACAUAUUUUAGAUUUCAUUAAGUCUGUUAAGUGAAUCUUGUCAUGUUUAUUGUCUUUGGACAAAUUUUUGAUUGUAAAGGUUACUAAUUCUGGUUAUCAAUAAAAAUUUAUUUGCCUAGGAAAAACAAAAAUAAAAAAUGGGCAGUCAAGAUCAUCCUCUUUUUAUCAUUUGUUGGUUCAGCAAAUCAUAGAAUUGGUUUGCUCGAUAUCUAUCUUUCACACAUGAUUUGAGCUGUCAUUUUGCAGCGAAGAGUAAUUUUGUUGAAUUGGAUGAAGAACUUCAAUAUAAUCUUCGUGAUUUUGAAUGUCAGAGGUAUUUAGCACCUUCGCUUUUUUUUUUUCAUUUUCGAAUUUGUAUCUUAUUGUUAUCAAUGUGAUGGCAGGAUCAUCAAAUUAUAAUGUUACUGAGACAUCACGUUUUCUAACAAUGCGUGAAGAACAAGUGGUCAUGUCAGUGAGGAAUAUGGCUGCAGGUACAGCUAUUAAAGGAGCGAUAGUACUACUUUGGAUCUGCCACUGAACAUCCUUAUUGAUUAAUGGCUUUAGUUGCAACCACUGCAUCCCUAGCUCCCUCCUGAUCUUCAAAGGGGAGGAAAAUGCUUCAAUGGUUUUUUCUACUUUACUGACCUCUUCAAUGGGUUCCAAUAACCUGUUGUUGUAAUUGUAAGUAUAGCCUAAAGUUGUCUACCAUGUGGACAUCUAUAUGGUGUAUCUUGCAUCGAGAGAUGGAUUAAACAUUCUAAUCGGCAUUAUCCGAAGUGUCCAGUGUGCAAUCAGAAGUGUCUGUUGAAGGAUGUCAUAAGGCUUUAUGUUCCGUGGCUACAACAGAGUUCAGAAUCUUGUCAGCCUCAAAAUAAUUUGUAUAAGGUGCAAUUUGCGAAGUUUGGGAGAGAAUUGGCGGAUAUCUGUAAGGGGGUGAUGUCG